CGGGGCGUGGCGCAGUUUGGUAGCGCACAUGGUUUGGGACCAUGGGGUCGGGGGUUCAAAUCCCUUCGCCCCGACCA
rnacentral:tRNA from 1 species